CAACAAUGAAGCAGAUUACUCUUUUGAUAGUUUGUCUUGGAUACCAAAGCAAUAUUUGUUGCGCUUUAACAUGCAAAAAUCGACGUGGAGGAUCCGUUGACUGGUUCAUCAUGUACAAAUUACCAAAAACUACAACAGGCGACUCGUCAAGCGGGACCAAUUUCUUGUACAUGGAUAGAAACUCACCAUCUUUCGAACACAGUCAAUUAAACAUUUCCAGUGAAUAUAACAACCCUUUAUAUAACACGCUUCGACCAUUGUAUAUGGAUGAUCAAUCAGGGAUUCAAUCAUAUGCGAUGUACAAUGAUCAACCACCAAUGAACACCGGAAGCAAAUCAAGUAGAGCCCAUUCAAAAGGAGCAGUUGCGUUUGGCGAAACAGAGGGAUUUUGGAUCAUAUCUAGUGUUCCACGUUUUCCAUGGCCAGCAAGUGGGUCGACUGGAUACAAUUACGGUGAAAGUCAAACAAAGAACGGACAAAUCAUACUAUGUGUAACCGUACCUGAAAACAUGGAAGACAAAAUUAGUAAGAUCCAAUGUACUCGUGACCUCCUUUCUAAUAGAAAGGUUUUUUUUUAUGUUAUGUACUAUAACAAAGUGCAGUAACGCUUUCCACGAUUAUGACGAUUAUGGUAUUCUUUGAUAGCUUUAUCUUAUCUUUUAAAUCUGUUUAAAGCAUAGUCUUUAACUUCACAAAGUUAAAAACUAAAGGUAACCAACGCUGUGAAUCAGACUGGAAACAGAUUAAGAGUAUCCAAGUAUUCAAGAUCUUAGAGCAUUAAUGAAAAUGUACACAAAAAUGAAGCAUUUUGUUAUAAAUAUUAUUUUCUAAUUUUGGAGACGUUCGUGGGUUGAUAACUGAACUAUCUCUGCCAGAUGAUUUCAUCAACUAUUGACAGAUGACGAAAAACAAUAACGAGUUCCAACCGCUACACAAUUUAUACCGAAUAAAACUGUUGUCAUCAGGAAAAAUAUUUAAAAUCAAAAGUCCCAGGGGAAAAGAUGAAGGAGCAGAGUAAACAAGUACCUAUACAGAAAUAAGAGGUAUAUGUAGAAUCAGUUGCCAUGGAAAAUUGAGCAUCCUCUGCGCUUUUUGUCGUAAUCGGGAAAAUAGGGGAAAUAAUCCGUAGACAAUGCGUUGAUUUAUAUUGCCUGGCAAUAAAUAUCAAACACGUCAGUCAGUAUUUGUCUGAGCGAAAGAUUGUAUUUGCUGAGAAAGUCAUUGUAUUGAACAGAACUUACAAAAUGUUUAAUGAAAUCGUGUUUUAUCAACUUGU